rnacentral:tRNA from 1 species
CAAAAUGUAGCUUAAUUAAAGCAUCUCGCUUACACCGAGAAAAUAUCUGUGAAAUUCAGAUCAUCUUGA